rnacentral:rRNA from 1 species
AGAGUUUGAUCCUGGCUCAGGAUGAACGCUGGCGGCGUGCUUAACACAUGCAAGUCGAACGAUGAAGCUCAGCUUGCUGGGUGGAUUAGUGGCGAACGGGUGAGUAACACGUGAGUAACCUGCCCUUAACUCUGGGAUAAGCCUGGGAAACUAGGUCUAAUACCGGAUAGGAGCGCCUACCGCAUGGUGGGUGUUGGAAAGAUUUAUCGGUUUUGGAUGGACUCGCGGCCUAUCAGCUUGUUGGUGAGGUAAUGGCUCACCAAGGCGACGACGGGUAGCCGGCCUGAGAGGGUGACCGGCCACACUGGGACUGAGACACGGCCCAGACUCCUACGGGAGGCAGCAGUGGGGAAUAUUGCACAAUGGGCGAAAGCCUGAUGCAGCGACGCCGCGUGAGGGAUGACGGCCUUCGGGUUGUAAACCUCUUUCAGUAGGGAAGAAGCGAAAGUGACGGUACCUGCAGAAGAAGCACCGGCUAACUACGUG